GUAAAAGGAUGGGUAGUAAGCUGGAUAAUUAACCGGUUUUAAAUUUUGUACAGUGGUUUCUUCUUCCGUUUCCGAUUCCAAAAAAGAUCACAUCUAUAAAUCAACCUUAUCUACGGUUUGUUCCUAGGGGUAUAUGUAUGUAAACCAGUAAUAUAUUUGUAUUAUUAUAUUUAUAUAAAUGGAAAACGGUAACGGCGGCGGAGUAGAUGAGAAAAUCGGCAGUGAGGAUGUGAUUUCGAAGCUGAAAGAUGACGGUGAUUUCGAUAGACUCCGUCUCAACCUUAUCCGCAAACUUAAGGAUAAUGAAGAGCUGCGCAAUAGCAUUGUGUCAAUUGUUAAGCAGUCUGUAGCAAUUAACCUUCCUGGAGCUGACAACUUGAAGCCUCGACAACUGGCUGAUGCCAUCCAUCAAGAAGUCGGGGGCAAGUUAAAUGAAAAGAUCUCUGAUGUGCUGUGGGAAAUUAUCCGAUCAUCUGAUUCUGAUGGCAUGAAAACUGACAUCACUGAAACCGUGAAAUCCGUUUAUGAUAAACUUUCUAGACCAAAACGAGACAAAUAUACAGAGUCCAUAGUACAUGAUCCAAAACGAAUCCGUAACGAAUGUCAUCUUCAUACAUCGAAUAAUGAGUCAACUGUUGAAGUCAAUAUCAUAUCUGAUAAUGAACCGAAAGAACCUCCUGGUUUCUCACAAACUAUUUCUCAUCAGAUCGACAUUAUAACUCCAAUUACGCUGUCGAUGGAAACAAUGAACCACCAAACACAGAAAGGAUCAAACAACGAUACCCAUGAUAAUAAAGAGCAAGGUGAUGAUAGUGAUGACGACCCUGAUGCGCCACCUGGAUUUGGUUAACGUGUCGUAAUUGAUUUGGAAUUUUAGCUGUCACAAUUUGUAACCAGCUAUCUACAUCUCUUGUGGUUAAAGAUAAUGCAAUUUUAUGGCAAAGGUUAUAUAUUGAAGGCUUGAAGCUAUUUCUGUUUCACAUGGAGUUAGAAAGAAUAUGUAGAAACACACGAUGGCCGUGUAUGUGUUCAACUGCCAAACAAACAUAGGUUAUCAUUUUUGGCCUUGUUUUAUGUAUUUGCCUUGUAUGUAGUGAAGAUAUGUUUAUGCUCCUUCGUAGCUCUUCAAUUGAAAUGCUGUUAGGAUAUGAAUAUCUGUGAGCUUGUAAAAUGCAGUUAUCAGAACACAAUUCUUAGUGGCCGUCUUGCAUUCAAAA